rnacentral:rRNA from 1 species
CGGGUGAGUAACACGUGAGCAACCUGCCCCUAACUCUGGGAUAACGCUUCGAAAGGAGUGCUAAUACCGGAUAUGAGCCUGAGCGACAUCGCUUGGGUUGGAAAGUUUUUCGGUUAGGGAUGGGCUCGCGGCCUAUCAGCUAGUUGGUGAGGUAAAGGCUCACCAAGGCGACGACGGGUAGCCGGCCUGAGAGGGCGACCGGCCACACUGGGACUGAGACACGGCCCAGACUCC